AGGCCCUUUGUAUUCGUAUGAAGGUGUCCUAGUGGCGAACGGGUGAGUAACACGUGGGUAACCUACCCCGAAGAGGGGGAUAACCUCGGGAAACUGAGGCUAAUACCCCAUGUGCUCCACGGUAUUAGAUGACCAUGGAGUAAAGGAGUAAUCCGCUUUGGGAGGGGCCUGCGGCCCAUCAGCUAGUUGGUAGGGUAAUGGCCUACCAAGGCUAUGACGGGUAGGGGGCCUGAGAGGGUGGUCCCCCACACUGACACUGAAACACGGGUCAGACACCUACGGGUGGCAGCAGUAGGGAAUCUUGCACAAUGGGCGAAAGCCUGAUGCAGCAACGCCGCGUGCGCGAUGAAGGCCUUCGGGUUGUAAAGCGCUUUUCUGGGGGAAGAGUAAGGACGGUACCCCAGGAAUAAGUCUCGGCUAACUACGUGCCAGCAGCCGCGGUAAAACGUAGGAGGCAAGCGUUAUCCGGAUUUACUGGGCGUAAAGCGUGUGUAGGCGGUAUGGUAAGUCGGACGUGAAAGCUCCUGGCUCAACUAGGAGAGGCCGUUCGAAACUUCCAAACUUGAGGGCAGUAGAGGGAGGUGGAAUUUCAGGUGUAGCGGUGAAAUGCGUAGAUAUCUGAAGGAACACCAGUGGCGAAGGCGGCCUCCUGGACUGUCCCUGACGCUCAGACACGAAAGCUAGGGGAGCAAACGGGAUUAGACACCCCGGCAGUCCUAGCUGUAAACGAUGCAGACUUGGUGUUGGGAGUGUAAAAACUUUCAGUGCCGGAGCUAACGCGUUAAGUCUGCCGCCUGGGGACUACGACCGCAAGGUUAAAACUCAAAGGAAUUGACGGGGGCCCGCACAAGCAGCGGAGCGUGUGGUUUAAUUCGAGGCU
rnacentral:rRNA from 1 species